AACAUAUGCGCGGACGUUCCAGCCAUUGAAGUAUGAAACCUAUUUUAAAGGUCUAUGGUUCCAGUACAUGUCGACAGCGCAUGCGCGGCAUAAUUCAAAUUAAAAAAAGGAACAAGACUUUCUUUACAUAUAUAAAACAACACGAUUAAAGAAAAAAUCAACACAAUUUUGAAUUUGGAUCUUUAUAUUACCAUGUUGUCAUGUUUUUUUUACUAAUGUCCGACAACGUGUUUCAAUUUGUGUACUGUAAAAACACUGGUCUGUCUGGUAAAGUUAAACAAUCUUAUAAUGAUAUGCUACAUUCGAAUUUGACAAGCUCGAUAGAACAAUGGAAAACGAAAAAGGAACAUAAAUCAGUCAAAGGAAUCAAGCGACGCUGAAUCAUGCGACAUAUAUGUACGACAUGAUAUAUAUUUUUUAAACAAAAAUCGACCUUAUCACAGUUGUAUAAAUCUGAUGGUCAUAUGGUGAAUUCAUAGAAAUUCAUAUUUUUCGAGUAGGUACCUACCUACGUGUCAUUAUGAGUGACAUCCAUGAACUACAUGACAUACUGUAAGAAAUGCACGGCUAUUGCGCGGUGAGCUGCGACCAUGCGGUUACGCGCUAAAAACUUGUGCAAAUUUUAUAAAUAAAAUGGAUUUUUUUCUCUUUCUAUACACGGCAAACAAUUUUUAAACUCGUAUAUAGUUUUUAAAAAUAAAACUGAGGUCCUGUUGUCGUCUUAUCAGAUGAUAUAGUGUAGCUUUGAGUCCAAUUACACACUACCGUUAUGAUCCAAAACAAAGUAAAUAAAUUUUUAACAUAU